GACAGAGGCCUCAAGCGUUAGGCGGAAUCACUGGGCUUAAAGCGUGUGUAGGCGGAUCGUUAAGUGUCUUGUGAAAUCCCACGGCUCACCCGUGGAACUGCUGGGCAUACUGGGCGAUCUUGGGCCAACUAGGGGCAACUGGAACAAGCGGUGGAGCGGUGAAAUGCGUAGAUAUCAAGAGGAACACCUGAGGUGAAGACGGGUUGCUGGGCCGACACUGACGCUGAGUGCGCGAAAGCCAGGGGAGCAAACGGG
rnacentral:rRNA from 1 species